GAACUCAUAGUUUAAUGGUUAGAACAUACCGCUCAUAAUGGUAAUUAUAUAGGUUCAAGUCCUAUUGAGUUUA
rnacentral:tRNA from 1 species